rnacentral:rRNA from 1 species
GAGUUUGAUCUUGGCUCAGAUUGAACGCUGGCGGCAGGCUUAACACAUGCAAGUCGAGCGGAGAUGAGGUGCUUGCACCUUAUCUUAGCGGCGGACGGGUGAGUAAUGCUUAGGAAUCUGCCUAUUAGUGGGGACAACAUUCCGAAAGGGAUGCUAAUACCGCAUACGUCCUACGGGAGAAAGCAGGGGAGUCUUCGGACCUUGCGCUAAUAGAUGAGCCUAAG